UACGGGGGGGGCAAGCGUUGUUCGGAAUUACUGGGCGUAAAGGGCUCGUAGGCGGCCAACUAAGUCAGACGUGAAAUCCCUCGGCUUAACCGGGGAACUGCAUCUGAUACUGGAUGGCUUGAGUUCGGGAGAGGGAUGCGGAAUUCCAGGUGUAGCGGUGAAAUGCGUAGAUAUCGAGAGGAACACCUGCGGCGAAGGCGGGUUGCUGGGCUGAUACUGACGCUGAGGCGCGAAAGCCAGGGGAGCGAACGGG
rnacentral:rRNA from 1 species